ensembl:miRNA MIR12278 microRNA mir-12278
AUCCUUCAAGUGCCUGAUAACAGUAGGCUUUCAGAGUGUACUGAUCAGCCACUUGAGGGAGG